GUGCCAGCCGCCGCGGUAAUACGUAGGUGGCAAGCGUUAUCCGGAAUUAUUGGGCGUAAAGCGCGCGUAGGCAGUUUUUUAAGUCUGAUGUGAAAGCCCACGGCUCAACCGUGGAGGGUCAUUGGAAACUGGAAAACUUGAGUGCAGAAGAGGAAAGUGGAAUUCCAUGUGUAGCGGUGAAAUGCGCAGAGAUAUGGAGGAACACCAGUGGCGAAGGCGACUUUCUGGUCUGUAACUGACGCUGAUGUGCGAAAGCGUGGGGAU
rnacentral:rRNA from 1 species